GACGAACGCUGGCGGCGUGCUUAACACAUGCAAGUCGAACGGAAAGGCCCUGCUUUUGUGGUGUGCUCGAGUGGCGAACGGGUGAGUAACACGUGAGUAACCUGCCCUUGACUUUGGGAUAACUUCAGGAAACUGGGGCUAAUACCGGAUAGGAGCUCCUGCUGCAUGGUGGGGGUUGGAAAGUUUGGGCGGUUGGGGAUGGACUCGCGGCUUAUCAGCUUGUUGGUGGGGUAGUGGCUUACCAAGGCUUUGACGGGUAGCCGGCCUGAGAGGGUGACCGGCCACAUUGGGACUGAGAUACGGCCCAGACUCCUACGGGAGGCAGCAGUGGGGAAUAUUGCACAAUGGGCGGAAGCCUGAUGCAGCAACGCCGCGUGCGGGAUGACGGCCUUCGGGUUGUAAACCGCUUUCGCCUGUGACGAAGCGUGAGUGACGGUAAUGGGUAAAGAAGCACCGGCUAACUACGUG
rnacentral:rRNA from 1 species